rnacentral:lncRNA from 1 species
GAUCACUUUGUAAUGUAUAUAAAUGUUGAAUCACUAUGUUGUAUACCUGAAACUAAUAUAAUAUUGUAUGUCAACUACAUACAGCUAAACAACAACAAAAAUUCAGGGUUUUGUUUCUUUCCCAUAGCUUCCUUUGUGGCUGUCAUGAUGCUUUCCAGACAGUGACGGCAAGUCCUAUGCAGAAACUAGAGGAAAAGGGGGAGAGUGUUGUGAAAAGAAGCAUUUUGGAAAAUUAUCCAGAAGGGGUCAACAAGGUAAAUGAAGGACCGUGGAAACCAAUUAGGAGGAUACUGCAGAAAUGAGACACCAAGGAGCAAGAGCCAAGGUAGUUGCAGUGGGCAUGGAGAAAUGAUGCAAACAAGCAUCAAGAUGUUAUUGGAAGUAUGGAGUUAUGUUGAAGAAUUCUAUUAAUAAUAGCGCAGAGGCCUGAGAAUACUCAAAUUCUGUUCAAGCUCCUUAGGCUUUGAAUAGCUAAACAUCUACAUCAUAGUUUUCUUUGCUCUAUGUCCCCAGAUAAGAAUUUUAGCUUCAAACUGGGCUGGUUUUUAAUUUACAAAGAGAAUAAACUGACCAUGGCUAUAAGGUAGAAGAGAAAUUUUCUGACAGUAGAUUUAGUACCCUAGAGAAUUACUAGAUAAUCUAGAACCAGGUUAGUGUUCUGCUAAGAACUAAGAAGACUGAAACUACAGUUAAAGGAGAAAGAGUCUUUUUUCUUUUUUUCUGGGACUUCUUACUUCUAGGUACAUUCCUUUGAUAAACUCAUCCACCCUCUUGACUUAGAUCAGCAAGUCCAGGAACAGAGCUUGUUGCAAAGGUGGUCAAUAUCUCCUUAGCCUCAGUAGAGACAAAGCAAGGAGAACAGCUUAAGUUUCUAGACAAGUCUGGGCAUUGGAGAUGAUGGGCAAGCAGACAAGGAGGAUAGGGGUCCUCUACCUUUGCCAAGAGCCAGAGUGCUGAAGGUCCUACCAUCCUUUCCUCUGCCUGGAACUUUGCAGAGAUAAAGACAAUAGCUUUAGAAUGCGUAGUUCCAGAUUUGAUGGGCCUCACACG